rnacentral:rRNA from 1 species
GAUGAACGCUGGCGGCGUGCCUAAUACAUGCAAGUCGAGCGAACAGACGAGGAGCUUGCUCCUCUGACGUUAGCGGCGGACGGGUGAGUAACACGUGGAUAACCUACCUAUAAGACUGGGAUAACUUCGGGAAACCGGAGCUAAUACCGGAUAAUAUAUUGAACCGCAUGGUUCAAUAGUGAAAGACGGUUUUGCUGUCACUUAUAGAUUGAUCCGCGCCGCAUUAGCUAGUUGGUAAGGUAACGGCUUACCAAGGCAACGAUGCGUAGCCGACCUGAGAGGGUGAUCGGCCACACUGGAACUGAGACACGGUCCAGACUCCUACGGGAGGCAGCAGUAGGGAAUCUUCCGCAAUGGGCGAAAGACUGACGGAGCAACGCCGCGUGAGUGAUGAAGGUCUUCGGAUCGUAAAAAUCUGUUAUUAGGGAAGAAAAAAUGUGUAAGUAACUAUGCACGUCUUGACGGUACCUAAUCAGAAAGCCACGGCUAACUACGUG